GACGAACCGUGCGAACGUUAUUCGGAAUCACUGGGCUUAAAGCGCGUGUAGGCGGGACGGCACGUCUGUCGCUGAAAUCCCCCGGCUCAACCGGGGAACGGGCGCGGAUACGACCGUCCUGGAGGGGCGUAGGGGGACCUGGAACUUCCGGUGGAGCGGUGAAAUGCGUUGAGAUCGGAAGGAACGCCCGUGGCGAAAGCGAGGUCCUGGACGCUUACUGACGCUGAGAGACGAAAGCUAGGGGAGCGAAUGGG
rnacentral:rRNA from 1 species